AAACACCCUCAGUUCUCCUCUCUGUCAUUUCGACGGAGGAAGGGGAGUUGGACUUGAGUGAUCCCAACGGAAGUGAUUUUCGAAACACAGCCGGCGGGUCGCUUGAAAUGCAGGUGCGGCUGGACACAUCUUCUGAGCUAUAAGCAUUACUUAUUUAGUCCCGUUAAACGGAUUAUAUCAUAUUGCUGCAGCUAACAUAAAGGUUGAUUGUCUUUGUGCCCGACUGAUGCAGGAAGACAAAGGGAGGUGAAAGUCUCUUUGUUCA
rnacentral:misc_RNA from 1 species